rnacentral:rRNA from 1 species
CCUACGGGUGGCUGCAGUGGGGAAUAUUGCACAAUGGGGGGAACCCUGAUGCAGCAACGCCGCGUGAAGGAAGACGGUUUUCGGAUUGUAAACUUCUAUCAAUAGGGAAGAAAGAAAUGACGGUACCUAAAUAAGAAGCCCCGGCUAACUACGUGCCAGCAGCCGCGGUAAUACGUAGGGGGCAAGCGUUAUCCGGAUUUACUGGGUGUAAAGGGAGCGUAGACGGUGAUGCAAGUCAGAAGUGAAAGCCCGGGGCUCAACUCCGGGACUGCUUUUGAAACUGUGUGACUGGAGUGCAGGAGAGGUAAGCGGAAUUCCUGGUGUAGCGGUGAAAUGCGUAGAUAUCAGGAGGAACACCAGUGGCGAAGGCGGCUUACUGGACUGUAACUGACGUUGAGGCUCGAAAGCGUGGGGAGCAAACAGGAUUAGAUACCCUUGUAGUC